rnacentral:lncRNA from 1 species
ACUUGCUUGGUUAGGAAGUGAUUUGGGUGGUGCCUUGGCCAAAUGAGGCCCUCACCUAUUUAUAGGCACCAAUGGAACUCUCUGGAACCUUGGAGGGUUUCUUACAAAUCAAGAAAAUUCUAGAAUACCUUGCACAAUUCUAUGUACAACCCUAUGUACAAGAGAUCUCUAGAAUUCUCUAGAAAGCCUUGGACUCCUCUCAUGCCUUCCACCAUAGUGUAAAGAUGUGUAGACAUCUCUAGGCAUCUCUAGAAUCUUCCACACUUUUCCCUCCAAUGGCUUAGUGUAGAUGGCUCCAAGAGUCUCCAGAAGCUUCUUGGGAUCUAUAUAAACCCAUGAGGAGGCUCAUUUGAAGCAUCCUGUGACACUCUCCCCCACCUAUGCCGUCGACAUCCUCGUCGUUGCCUUUUUUUGAAACCUUUCGAUGUGUUUCCAGAACCUUCUCAAGGCAUCCGCAUGUUCCCAACUUACCUGCCUCCUAGGUAGUCAUUUCCAUCGGACUAGAUACUUUAUCACAAGAGGGACCCUUUGUCUCCUGGUGACCUAUUCAGCCAGGAUAUUUUUCACUUCUUUUUCUUGUGAGGCCUUGGAUGGAUGCAGAUCCCUGCACUUUCGAUGCUUGGAGUGCUGCUUUCUCUUACCCAUCAAGUUCACCUUUGCCUUGGUCACCUUGUCAAUGUAUGUGUGGGCUACCUUAGCUUACUCCCCUUUUCUCUCAUUUAUUUGCACCCUUGAUAGUAAGGAGGUCUUAGGUGUACUAGGAUUUGGGUUGAAUUGGAGGGCACCUAGUAGUUGCAUCGAGCCCAUAUGUGCUUUGUCUUCCUGUUCCAUCUCCUCGAUCAUGGCAUUGAGCACCUUCCUCUUUGGAUAAUGUCGUGCCCAAUGUGGACUAUCACAUAGGAAGCAUUUGAUUUUAGGCGUAAACUCCUUCCUUUUUGCUUUACCCCUUCCUUCUUGGACAUUAGGCGUCUUGCCUGAUCCCAUUCUAGGAGCAUUGUGGUCUCUUGAGACCUCGUCUCCCCUACUUGUGGCGUGGCUAUCCUCCAAAGACUCAACCUUGGAUAAGUCUCCCCUCUUGUAAUCCGUUAAAGACUCUGCUACUGCCAUAGCAGUGGUUAAGUCCUGAAUGCCUCGACGCCUUAAUUCCUACUCGGCCCACCCUUGCAGGUUAUCCAUGAAGUUGAAUAGCAACUCAUCCUCAGUCAUGUUAGGAAUCUCAAGCAUGAGUGAAGAGAAUUCCUUGACAUAGUCGCGUAUCAAGCUUGUGUGCUUGAGACGUUUCAUGUUUUUCCUAGCCAAGUAGCAGCCUUGUAGAUGGCCAACUCCUGCCUAACCUCCUAGUCUUGGGACUCCAUUCGAGUGGCCAAAGCCUCUAUCCUUGACUCCAUGCUAGCAAGCAUGCUCAAGACCUUUUCUUGGAAGGACACAAACUCCUCGUGCGACACUAGCUGAACCUGUGAGACUAGCACCCUCUCACGAAGGUCUUGGAUUUGCUCCCUUAGAUCCUCUAAACCCUUCUCCAUGCCUUGCUCAAUCAAGUCCAACCCCUCCCAAGUGUCCGCCAUGGCUAGCUCACUUUGGCUAACCUUGCCUCCAUGUUAGCAACGACAUCAUGAGAUUUAUCCUUCUUGCCCCUGCCCCAUGCAGUAGGCUCAGUCUCUCUCUUCUCCUCCAUGUUAGAGUCCGACAUGCUUCUUUUACUAUGCCCGCUUCGUAGCCAUGCUCUGAUACCACUUGUCACGGACUUAGUCUUUUCCUAAGAUUGUGUGGCAUUUAGACAAGCCAAGACCUUUGAUCUUGCUAAGUCAGCCUUACUCCAAAUGCUUAGCUUGCUAGGCUAAGACGCUUGCGACUCGGAAGCUUUAGAAGGCGUAGUAGGCAACUCUUAAAGAAUGGAAGCUUUAUUGCUUUCAAAGGAAGCUAUACAAUGCAUAGAAUCUCACUUGCUUGGUUAGGAAGUGAUUUGGGUGGUGCCUUGACCAAAUGAGGCCCUCACCUAUUUAUAGGCACCAAUGGAACUCUCUGGAACCUUGGAGGGUUCCUUACAAAUCAAGAAGAUUCUAGAAUACCCUACACAAUUCUAUGUACAACCCUAUGUACAAGAGAUCUCUAGAAUUCUCUAGAAAGCCUUGGACUCCUCUCAUGCCUUCCAUCAUAGUGUAGAGAUGUGUG